GAUGAACGCUAGCGGCAGGCCUAACACAUGCAAGUCGAGGGGUAGAACACUUCGGUGUUUGAGACCGGCGCACGGGUGCGUAACGCGUAUGCCAUCUACCUUAUACAGGGGGAUAGCCCCGAGCAAUGUGGAUCAAUGCCCCAGAUCAUUACGACUUGGCAUCAACAUGUAAUUAAAGUUCCCACGGACUAAGAGGAGCAAGGGUCCCAUUAGUUAGUUGGUAAGGUAACGGCUUACCAAGACGAUGACGGGUAGGGGUCCUGAGAGGGAGAUCCCCCACACUGGUACUGAGACACGGACCAGACUCCUACGGGAGGCAGCGAUGAGGAAUAUUGGUCAAUGGUCGCAAGACUGAACCAGCCAAGCCGCGUGCAGGAAGACGGUCCUAUGGAUUGUAAACUGCUUUUAUACAGGAAGAAACCCUCCCACGUGUGGGAGCUUGACGGUACUGUAGGAAUAAGGAUCGGCUAACUCCGUGCCAGCCGCCGCGGUAA
rnacentral:rRNA from 1 species